UCAGGACGAACGCUGGCGGCGUGCUUAACACAUGCAAGUCGAACGAUGAAGCCCAGCUUGCUGGGUGGAUUAGUGGCGAACGGGUGAGUAACACGUGAGUAACCUGCCCUUGACUUCGGGAUAACUCCGGGAAACCGGGGCUAAUACUGGAUAUGAGCCGUCCUCGCAUGGGGGUGGUUGGAAAGUUUUUCGGUCAGGGAUGGGCUCGCGGCCUAUCAGCUUGUUGGUGGGGUGAUGGCCUACCAAGGCGACGACGGGUAGCCGGCCUGAGAGGGCGACCGGCCACACUGGGACUGAGACACGGCCCAGACUCCUACGGGAGGCAGCAGUGGGGAAUAUUGCACAAUGGGCGCAAGCCUGAUGCAGCGACGCCGCGUGAGGGAUGAAGGCCUUCGGGUUGUAAACCUCUUUCAGCAGGGAAGAAGCGCAAGUGACGGUACCUGCAGAAGAAGCGCCGGCUAACUACGUGCCAGCAGCCGCGGUAAUACGUAGGGCGCAAGCGUUGUCCGGAAUUAUUGGGCGUAAAGAGCUCGUAGGCGGUUUGUCGCGUCUGGUGUGAAAACUCGAGGCUCAACCUCGAGCUUGCAUCGGGUACGGGCAGACUAGAGUGCGGUAGGGGAGACUGGAAUUCCUGGUGUAGCGGUGGAAUGCGCAGAUAUCAGGAGGAACACCGAUGGCGAAGGCAGGUCUCUGGGCCGCAACUGAC
rnacentral:rRNA from 1 species